UAUAAUUAUAAAAUUAAUUGAAAUUAAGACUAAUGUCUGAAAAAGCCUUUCCAUAAAAUAGUGAAGAGCUCUCAACUCUCACUAUCGUUAUCUUAUCAACAUCUACUUUAAACCCUACUUUCCCACUUCAUCUCCUACAUACAUUUCAAGAUAUGGGCAAGUAAAUUUUCUUUCUCUUUGCCGAUAAAAAGAUUGUGUGCAACUUUGGGCGAGAUAGUGUGUUUUACCUGUAAACUAAAGCUAAAACCAUUUAUUUCGAAGGAGGGAAAAGGAAACCUUUAAACAUGUUGCUUGGGUUAAAAAGAAAGGAAAAGAGAAACAUAAAGCUUUUGAAAAGAGAAACAUAUAUCUCAAUUUUUUCGUGCAUUGAAUUGGAUAGAAAGUCCUCUUGUCUUUGGCUCUUUGCUAACCUUGACUACCACAGUGUAUUAAUGGUUUCAACCCUAGCUGGUUUAGUUUUGAUGGUAUCUCUGGGACCCAACUGACAUUACAAAUCCUCAUGAUUAAAGAUGUUUUUGUUAUGCUCUCAUGAGCAAGGGUCUUUGUAGGCCUUGGAUUUUUUAGAUCAGCCCCAAUACAUAUACAAUUAAAUAAUGACAUAUCACUCUCACGUUAAUCGUUUUUUUACUGUCACAAAGUAAUAAAUAAAAAUGAAUGUAACUUUUCCUCUUUGUUACUGAAAAAAACCGCCACAAAAGUGGAUGUCAAAAUGGUAUACAACUACUAUUUGGUUGUACAUGUAUCUUUUUCAUUUUUAGAUUUAUUGACAUGAAUUACCAACAAGCUCACACACACACUCAUCACACACAAAAAGCAACUAACUAUAAAGAGCAUUUGCAUGCACACCACUUAAAUAAUAAGAAAUAAAACCCUUAAAUAUUGCAGGCUUUGAAAUAAAAAUAAAUUAUAAAAAUGCUCAAUUAAAUCUUCUCCUUUAUAAACUACAUUGAAUGAAUUUUUUGUGAGAACCAAUAGUAUUCAUCAACAGAUAGCCAGAGACUAAUCCAUUUUAAGGUGUAGAAGUUAUGAGUGCAUGCAGUCCCACACCAAAUAAUGAUGGGGAAUAUACAAUGUACUGAAAAUGGCUCAAACCUCAUCAAUUGCUAGUUAGAACUCCAAAGCACAUGAUUGAGCAAGGAGGAGGUACUUCACUAAAGCACAUGAUUGAACAAAGCAUAUGAAGUAACAUAAAGCUUAGACUAAAGUGAAUUUAAAGAAUCUUGUUAAAAGCUAUAUAAUGGAGUGUAGUAGCAGACACUAAUUAAACUGAGGCUACUUUUUUGCCAAUGAAUGUUGCUGUUAAACGUAACCAGGAGGUCAAUGAGGAUUGAGGAAACCCAUGAAAUGUAUCAUAAGCUCGUAAAGUUUUGGAAUCCUAUGUCAAUUAAUACUUAAAAAAUUAUUGAUAAGCCUGACUUUGAUUAAGCAAAGUGAUUGAACCUUCUCCAUUUGAUAUUGUUUAUAGUUAACAAUACAGAUAAGCAUUUCUGGUUCCUCCAAUCAAAGUUCCUAUAUGCCUUUCUCUAAGUGUCUUAAAAUUGAAUCCUUUUUCACAGGGCAAAAGAAACUUUGAAGUUAUUUCUGAUGGAUCUGUUAGGCAAUUAGAUCAAUAACUUGUAUUUGUAUUUUGAAUAAGAUGAUUAAAAACAAUUAACAUUUGUUGUGUUAACAUGCAUGUUCAAUAUAUGCCAUGGUUACUCUCAUCCUUUUGCUGCUUCAUCAAUUGUAAGGCAAUAUUAGUAAGAGAAUCGAAGGGACUGAGUACUCUCCCGAAAUACUUGGAUUAAAGACAGGAUUGUAACCAAUGUGCUAAAUUGAGUAUGUUUCUGAUCAUUUCGAAUUUCUCCUGACCCUGAGGCAAAACUUGAUUUCUAGGUGAAACCGGUGACAUCACAGGGUUUGAAUACACCAUCAGAGAUGUCCCUAGACCAGCCGUAAGUUCAAAUGUCAUUCCAUAUGGAGGAUUUUGAAUAAUCUUUGAUUCCAUUUCAGGCUGUGAUAAACUUGACACUACUUGGCUCUUCACAUUGCAGCCAAUAUACUCUUUCAUGAGCAGACAAAGCAUAUUGAGAUAGAUUGUCAUAUUAUUGCAUGCAGGGGUGGGGGUUCUUAGGUGACAUGACAUACAUACAGAACUUGGCUAGUUAGGUAUAGUUGGCAAUUCUGUAACACUUAUGGUUGUAGAAGCAGAUAGUAUAGAACAAUAUAUAUAUUUGUACAUAUAUAUACAGUUCAUAAUACCCUUUGCUGAUCA